GCCGCGUGCGGGACGAAGGCCCUAGGGUCGUAAACCGCUUUCAGUAGGGACGAAAAUGACGGUACCUGCAGAAGAAGCUCCGGCCAACUACGUGCCAGCAGCCGCGGUGAUACGUAGGGAGCAAGCGUUGUCCGGAAUUACUGGGCGUAAAGGGCUCGUAGGUGGUUGAGUAAGUCAGAUGUGAAAUCUCAGGGCCCAACCCUGAGCGUGCAUUUGAUACUGCUCUGACUAGAGUCCGGUAGGGGAGUGCGGAAUUCCUGGUGUAGCGGUGAAAUGCGCAGAUAUCAGGAGGAACACCGACAGCGAAGGCAGCACUCUGGGCCGGUACUGACACUGAGGAGCGAAAGCAUGGGUAGCAAACAGGAUUAGAUACCCUGGUAGUCCAUGCCGUAAACGUUGGGCACUAGGUGUGGGGAGAACUCAACUCUCUCCGCGCCGUAGCUAACGCAUUAAGUGCCCCGCCUGGGGAGUACGGCCGCAAGGCUAAAACUCAAAGGAAUUGACGGGGGCCCGCACAAGCGGCGGAGCAUGUUGCUUAAUUCGAGGCAACGCGAAGAACCUUACCUGGGUUGAACUACGUAGGAAAAGCCGCAGAGAUGCGGUGUCCUUCGGGGUCCACGAUAGGUGGUGCAUGGCUGUCGUCAGCUCGUGUCGUGAGAUGUUGGGUUAAGUCCCGCAACGAGCGCAACCCUUGUCCUAUGUUGCCAGCGGGUAAAGCCGGGGACUCGUAGGAGACUGCCGGGGUCAACUCGGAGGAAGGUGGGGACGACGUCAAGUCAUCAUGCCCCUUAUGUCCAGGGCUGCAAACAUGCUACAAUGGCCGGUACAACGGGCAGCUAAACCGCGAGGUCAAGCGAAUCCCACAAAGCCGGUC
rnacentral:rRNA from 1 species